CCUACGGGAGGCAGCAGUGGGGGCUAUUGCACAAUGGGGGGAACCCUGAUGCAGCGACGCCGCGUGGGUGAAGAAGCGCCUCGGCGCGUAAAGCCCUGUCAGCAGGGAAGAAAAUGACGGUACCUGAAGAAGACGCCCCGGCUAACUACGUGCCAGCAGCCGCGGUAAUACGUAGGGGGCAAGCGUUAUCCGGAUUUACUGGGUGGAAAGGGGGCGCAGACGGCGAUGCAAGCCAGGAGUGAAAGCCCGGGGCCCAACCCCGGGACUGCUCUUGGAACUGCGUGGCUGGAGUGCAGGAGGGGCAGGCGGAAUUCCUGGUGUAGCGGUGAAAUGCGUAGAUAUCAGGAGGAACACCGGUGGCGAAGGCGGCCUGCUGGACUGCAACUGACGUUGAGGCCCGAAAGCGUGGGGAGCAAACAGGAUUAGAUACCCCAGUAGUC
rnacentral:rRNA from 1 species